rnacentral:rRNA from 1 species
GAUGAACGCUAGCGGCAGGCCUAAUACAUGCAAGUCGAGGGGUAGAGCUAGCUUGCUAGCUUGAGACCGGCGCACGGGUGCGUAACGCGUAUGCAACCUACCUCAAUCAGGGGGAUAGCCCGGAGAAAUCCGGAUUAACACCGCAUAAAAACACAGGGUAGCAUUACCCAAUGUUCAAAUAUUUAUAGGAUUGGGAUGGGCAUGCGUGCCAUUAGAUAGUUGGCGGGGUAACGGCCCACCAAGGCGACGAUGGCGAGGGGAUACGAGAGGAUGACCCCCCACACUUGUACUGAGACACGGACCAGACUCCUACGGGAGGCAGCAGUAAGGAAUAUUGGUCAAUGGGGGCAACCCUGAACCAGCCAUGCCGCGUGCAGGAUGACGGCCCUCCGGGUUGUAAACUGCUUUUGUACGGGAAUAAACCUUUCUUCGUGAAGAAAGCUGAAUGUACCGUAAGAAUAAGGAUCGGCUAACUCCGUGCCAGCCGCCGCCGUAA